GACGAACGCUGGCGGCGUGCUUAACACAUGCAAGUCGAACGGAAAGGCCCUGCUUUUGUGGGGUGCUCGAGUGGCGAACGGGUGAGUAACACGUGAGUAACCUGCCCUUGACUUUGGGAUAACUUCAGGAAACUGGGGCUAAUACCGGAUAGGAGCUCCUGCUGCAUGGUGGGGGUUGGAAAGUUUCGGCGGUUGGGGAUGGACUCGCGGCUUAUCAGCUUGUUGGUGGGGUAGUGGCUUACCAAGGCUUUGACGGGUAGCCGGCCUGAGAGGGUGACCGGCCACAUUGGGACUGAGAUGCGGCCCAGACUCCUACGGGAGGCAGCAGGGGGGAAUAUUGCACAAUGGGCGGAAGCCUGAUGCAGCAACGCCGCGUGCGGGAUGACGGCCUUCGGGUUGUAAACCGCUUUCGCCUGUGACGAAGCGUGAGUGACGGUAAUGGGUAAAGAAGCACCGGCUAACUACGUG
rnacentral:rRNA from 1 species